rnacentral:lncRNA from 1 species
AGAAUUUGGAGUCUUGAGGUGGUUGCUAAUCAUGACUUGAAUCAUCAGGAGCGCAGUGUUCUUGGGGAGAUCCGAUGAGCGCUCAGGAAACAUCAUACGGUGGAAAGAAGAGGGAAUGUGAAAGAGCUGAGCUCAAAUCCCCACUCCGUCACCAGUAGUUGUGUGAACUUGGGUCAAGCACAUUUAAAUCCACCUGAGAGUGAUAAAUUACUGGUAGGAUUUCUGCAUCUUGUCCUUUCAGGAAAGUCUCAUCUUACCCGAAAGACCUGGAUUUGGGAUUAUUCACCAGAACAAGGUCCAGCCCUUAUCUGAGGCCAUGGCAGUCUCUGUUUCUGCCUGCUAUGAUGACUGUGCACUUAGGAGAAUAUCAGAUGGUGGGGCUGCCUCCCUCAUCUGGCCUGAAAAAAUUGAGGCCGUUAAUGAUGUGAAUGGUUUUUUGAUACA